rnacentral:lncRNA from 1 species
CAGAAUCUCACCUUCCCCCGCGUGCACCGACUGCUUUUCUCCCGCGUGCGCUGGCUGCUUUUGGCCACCGAUACGCUGCGUCGGCGCUCCAAAGUUCCAGGUCAGGAGAGGCUAGAGUUCCAAAUCGUAGUUCGUGUGAACCAGUGUGAACCAGUUGAAUCUCAUCAAUCUUAUCAAGUCAUCUAAUAAAAAAAGGUUUCAUUUUUUCCCAAAAAAUAGUGCAUCUGAUCUUUCCAUUAAUAUAUAGUGUUGUAUUUAGACGUUCAUAUAGUUCCCUACUGCAUUUAACUCAUCCAUAAGCUAGAUGCAUCUAUGAAUCUAUUUAUAAAUUGCUGCUACUAUUUUUUUCCAUUGCAUAAAUAUAAAGAUGCUUUCUUCAUAUUUACCCAUGUCUGUCAUCAUGCGGUAAUUGACUAAUUCCUUAUGUACAGGUUUCUUCGUAUUUACCCAUACCUCUCAUCACAUGAUCAUUUUAUUACUCUGAUGUAUGUCCUGUUUAUUACAAAGGAAUAGAUAAAUAUUAGGUCAGUAGUAACUAUUUCCUUCAGCAAUUUCAUUUACAACAUCAGCCACAAAUUUCUGAAAUUGUGUGCAAGCAUCCCAAGUGAGAAUAACUGUUUUAGGAUGCCUAGGCUCUUAUGAAAAUUAGUUUGUCUGAACAUGCAUUCAUAAAUGAUGUUCAGUGAAGUAUCUGCACAAUACAUAUAGAGACUUUAGCCUGACGUGAAAAGGCUAAAUCAGUUUUGUUAGUUGCAUGUAUGCUUCAAAGUUCUAUAAGCUAUAACUAAAGAGAUUUGGACAGCAAGCUGUCGUACUAAAUAAACUCACAUGUUUUCUGUUUGCCGGAACUAUUCUCUCCGAGUAACAACCACUCUACCAAAAUCAUGGAAGACAAACCUCGGUACCAUCUUCAAUGCUCAACUUUGUAGUCACCUUAAUAUGUAGCCGCCAUUGUAUCUUUGAAAUUUACCUUUGUAGUCACCCUUAAUAUGUCAGAAUUCUCAGUGACAAACACGGUACAAAACUUCUUACAUAAUAAUGUCUUCAAGUUUCUGUGAACCAUCUUGAAGAUACGUAACAUAAUGAAACAUAUUUGACAGGUUCGACGCGUCUUAGAGUUCUACGAUGCAUCCAAGAAUUCAGAGAACGUUGACAAAUAUAUAGAUCAGCUGACCAACAAUGAAUUGUCAUCACCACCCAAAAAGAUGAAGCACACCCAGGUUAACAAAGCCAUUCCAGAUUCUACAUGUUCCAAGAAUGACAACAGUUAGACCAUCCUGAAAUACAUCAAGGUUGGGCGGCUUCCGAAGUCAUUCAGACCUGCGUCCGAGCCUACAUCAU